AACGAACGCUGGCGGCAGGCCUAACACAUGCAAGUCGAGCGAGAUCUUCGGGUCUAGCGGCGGACGGGUGAGUAACGCGUGGGAAUAUGCCUCUUGGUACGGAAUAGCCUCGGGAAACUGGGAGUAAUACCGUAUGUGCCCUUUGGGGGAAAGAUUUAUCGCCAAGAGAUUAGCCCGCGUUGGAUUAGGUAGUUGGUGGGGUAAUGGCCUACCGAGCCGACGAUCCAUAGCUGGUUUGAGAGGAUGAUCAGCCACACUGGGACUGAGACACGGCCCAGACUCCUACGGGAGGCAGCAGUGGGGAAUCUUAGACAAUGGGGGCAACCCUGAUCUAGCCAUGCCGCGUGAGUGAUGAAGGCCUUAGGGUUGUAAAGCUCUUUCAGCUGGGAAGAUAAUGACGGUACCAGCAGAAGAAGCCCCGGCUAACUCCGUG
rnacentral:rRNA from 1 species